ACCAGCGGUGAUAGCACGCUGAAUGCAAUAGUUCCCAAUGGAACACUAAAGUUAAAAAACGUUGCGCGUGGUUAGUAUCCGGAUGGGUGACUAUCUGGGCAAUCGUGUGAUGCUGGCU
rfam:Asian citrus Psyllid, Diaphorina citri - Florida Strain, whole genome shotgun sequence.